UACGUAGGCGGAAUAUUAAGUCAGUGGUGAAAUCCUGCGGCUCAACCGUAGAACUGCCAUUGAUACUGAUGUUCUUGAAUAUAGUUGAGGUAGGCGGAAUGUGUGAUGUAGCGGUGAAAUGCUUAGAUAUUACACAGAACACCGAUUGCGAAGGCAGCUUACUAAACUAUUAUUGACGCUGAUGUACGAAAGCGUGGGGAGCGAACAGGAUUAGAUACCCUGGUAGUCC
rnacentral:rRNA from 1 species